rnacentral:rRNA from 1 species
UACGUAGGGUGCGAGCGUUGUCCGGAAUUACUGGGCGUAAAGGGCGCGUAGGCGGCCGAUCAAGUCAGGCGUGAAAUUCCCGGGCUCAACCUGGGGGCUGCGCUUGAUACUGAUGGGCUUGAAUGCGGGAGAGGAUAGUGGAAUUCCCAGUGUAGAGGUGAAAUUCGUAGAUAUUGGGAAGAACACCGGUGGCGAAGGCGGCGACCUGGUCUGAUACUGACGCUGGGGCGCG